rnacentral:lncRNA from 1 species
UCUAAGGGUUUAAGAGGUUAAGAAAAAGAUGGUUAGAUCUAGUGGGUGGUUCAGAGAGGUUCAAACUCAGGUCUGAUGGAAGGUAUGAUCGAUUGGUGGCUAGUCGAGUUCUAGGGGCUAGAACUCUUGAAGUAAGGUGAAGGAGGAGCGUUGUCUUUGGUUCAAUUUUUAUAUGGAUGACUAUUGGAGGGUAGACACUUAGAUACCUUAUAGAAAUUAGAUUAGCGCUAUAGGUAUUCUUCUGAUCCAAACUUAUUUUAACUGUACUUUGAUUGAUAUAG